CUUUCCGUGGCCUCUCGGGGCUCUGAUCCUCCCUUUCGAGGUGAGAUCUGGGGGGUGUUAGCUCCUGAAUCUGUUUCCUGGGGGGCUGUUGGUCUUGGUAAAAGGGGGGUAGGCUGGGACGUAUGGAGAAAGAAUUUCUGUUACCUCUGGAGGCUCCUGUAAAACUGGCUUCUCUUGCUCUCUCUAGGAUUCUCCCUUUAACUCUGUGUCUGCUGGCAAAGCUGCUCUUACUUUCACUUUUGGCUUUUUUGCUAUAAGCCAUUAAACAGGGCUGGAUCUAUGCCAGUUUUGUCUGUAUUGUAUUUAACCAUGAGUCAACAUAAAGGAAUUUAUCUGGGUACACUGGCUGUCCUCUGACCCCUGCCACCACCUUAAAUACAUGGCCAAUUGUUCCUUGUCUAUAGUUCCUUCGGUCGGCCAUCCAACACCAAAAGUGGGCCAUUCUAAUUCACAGAGAGUUCUCAACCUCUUAGGGGUUAACUUAACUGUAUAAUCCCCUGCAAAACCUUUCUUAAGGUUCCGUAACAUGCACUCUAGUAGAGUAAGUUUUGAUGUUUUGAUGACUUUCCUCCCAUUCCUCCUUUUACGACACAGCACAUUCACUCUUGCACACUCACCCUCUCGUUUUGGCCGGUUACACCGUCUCCUAUUAUGGGAUUUUUCAGAUGCUGCUUGACUUUGGAGAGGUUCUUAUUCCUACUACAACUCUGACCUGUAGGGCAGCUCCUAUUAGCUGUAUGCAGAUUUCCACUAGUCUUAGUCAGCCCCACACUUUCUUGGAGCACACAGUCCACAUUAAGAUCUGUGACUCCCCACUUUGCAGCUGAUGAGCCUAAUUAGGUCCCUGCAUUCACACACUUUCACACACUUUUAGUUCUCAUGUUUGCAAUCGGGGUGGUGAGCCACUCUUGCCCCCUCUAGUUUUG
rnacentral:lncRNA from 1 species